UACGUAGGGUGCGAGCGUUGUCCGGAAUUAUUGGGCGUAAAGAGCUCGUAGGCGGUCUGUCGCGUCGGUCGUGAAAACUUGGGGCUUAACCCUGAGCUUGCGGUCGAUACGGGCAUGACUGGAGUUCGGCAGGGGAGACUGGAAUUCCUGGUGUAGCGGUGAAAUGCGCAGAUAUCAGGAGGACACCGGUGCGAAGGCGGACUCUCUGGACCGUACUGACGCUGAGGCGCGAAAGCGU
rnacentral:rRNA from 1 species